rnacentral:rRNA from 1 species
UACGUAGGGUGCAAGCGUUGUCCGGAAUUAUUGGGCGUAAAGAGCUUGUAGGCGGUUUGUCGCGUCUGCUGUGAAAUUUCGGGGCUCAACCCCGAACUUGCAGUGGGGUACGGGCAGACUAGAGUGUGGUAGGGGGAGACUGGAAUUCCUGGUGUAGCGGUGAAAUGCGCAGAUAUCAGGAGGAACACCGAUGGCGAAGGCAGGUCUCUGGGCCAUAACUGACGCUGAGAAGCGGAAAGCAUGGGGAGCGAACAGG